UACGGAGGGUGCAAGCGUUAUCCGGAUUUACUGGGCUUAAAGGGUGCGUAGGUGGGUCUGUAAGUCAGUGGUGAAAUCUCCGAGCUUAACUCGGAAACUGCCAUUGAUACUAUAGGUCUUGAAUUAUCUGGAGGUAAGCGGAAUAUGUCAUGUAGCGGUGAAAUGCUUAGAUAUGACAUAGAACACCAAUUGCGAAGGCAGCUUACUGCGGAUUGAUUGACACUGAGGCGCGAAAGCGUGGGGAUCAAACAGG
rnacentral:rRNA from 1 species